rnacentral:lncRNA from 1 species
AAAAAAACGUGUAACGAAACCAAUGAACAUAUUGACUGCCAUAAAACAUGCUACAUGACAUGCUGCCAGUAUUUUACAGUGAAGGCAGGAGAUGGAUUUUCUCUUCUCUGGGGAAGGGGCAAAGGACAGGAAAAAGCAUUGAGACAGCCCUGACUCCAUAACCAGGCCUUGUGCUAAGCACUUCACCAUUGGAAUCUCAACACAACAGCCUUGAGAGAAAGGAGUAGAAAAAGAACAUUUGUUCAAGGACAACUGAUAAAAUUGACUUGAGAAGAAACAUAACCUCUCAAAAAUUGUUUAGAGAUAAUUCUGAAGACCUAAAAAAGAACUGACACCAAGGAUCAUCCUGAAAACAAGUGAAACAAGUGUUAGCUUAUACAAUACCAACAUAUAAACAAGGUAUGGCAUUUAUGUCACAAAGAAAAAAAGUUUACAUAUUUCAUUACAUAAAUACCAGAUUUACUGGAUUUCAGCUUUGAUUAAAUUUAAAGAUAUGUUUUAAAGAUAAAAAUAAAACAAAAUUCCCCUUAAAAUAAAAAACUCUUUAUAUACAUACUUUGUUAUUAAUAAUCUUUAUGCCCUUAAAAUGUGAAACAUUUAGAAAGCAUUGAUAUAUUGCAACUUCCUUUUUGAGAAAUACAUCAGCAUUUGUCAAUUCAUCAGUCCUAAAUGAUCAGAGAUGCUUAAAGUGAUUCUAUUUCUUUUUCUUCUUCUUUGGUGGCUCAUCAUCAGAGCUGCUAUCUGUGGUAGAGUUGGUGCUGGAGGAAGAGCUGAAAUCUGACUCAGAAUCAGACGAAGAGGAAGAACUAGUUGAGGAGGUUGAUGAGGAUGAAGUAGAAGAGGUUUCCUCAGUAUCACUCUCAGAGGAAGAAGAGGUAGAGGAGUCUUCACUCUCUGAUGAAGUCACUGACAAUUUCCACUGGUACUGCUGCUGGAACUGGAAUUGAUUCAGAGUGAAGGGAGCAGAACCAGGAGAACAAUAUACAGAGACUG